GACAGAGGUCCCGAGCGUUAGGCGGAAUCACUGGGCUUAAAGCGUGUGUAGGCGGCGGCCUAAGUACCUUGUGAAAUCCCACGGCUCACCCGUGGAACUGCUGGGUAUACUGGCGGUCUUGGGCCAACUAGGGGCAGCUGGAACAAGCGGUGGAGCGGUGAAAUGCGUAGAUAUCGCUUGGAACGCCGAAGGUGAAAACAGGCUGCUGGGGUUGUGCCGACGCUGAGACGCGAAAGCCAGGGGAGCGAACGGG
rnacentral:rRNA from 1 species